rnacentral:rRNA from 1 species
AUGGAGAAUGUGCAACAUGCAACCGACGAUGAUGAACAUGGUGAAGUUCGUGUAGGUGGUAAGAAGGAUAAGGCUGCACCAAAUGUCCCUCCACCGGAGGAAGCAGUUGAACAAACAGUUGCGGGAGAUACGGGGGUGUCGCUGUUAAAGAGGGGCAGAGCUCUAGAGGAUGUUGGGCAGGGCUCUGUUAGCAAGAGGUCUUGGACCGAUCCCGUAGCUUCUAGGAGGAGCGAGGCGACAACUGGUGGACGUGCAGUUAAGAAGAAGCAAGCACCAACGCCAACCGCGCUUCUGCUCGAUUGA